UGGUGCUCCAGCCACUCUCAGGCAUUGUUUCUCAAACAAUGUGGAGCACGUGGAGUUCUGGGGUCUUGAGAGAGACCGAUCUGAAGUCACCGACAUCUGGUUCUGGAAACAGAAAGCCAACAAAGAGUUAAAGCCAGAAGUGUCCAUCAUCCUAAAGGUUGAAGUCGCUUGAGGAGACAGUUGUGCAGUUCCCAGCGUCCUUUGAUUUGCAUUUCCCUGAUUGCUAAGGAGGAAGAGUCAGGCAUCGAUCUGUGCCUCACAGCACAAUGCAUCAGGCAUUGCUGUAAAGCCUGGGGAGACCCACGCCUACCCUGUGAGAAGCCGAGAUGCUGUGACAUGUUAGAGACCCACACUACAAAAUGCCAUCAAAACAUUGCUCAAAAAUAGGGCGACACAUGUGAAAGUGUGCUGAGAACUCCAGCGUACCAGAUGAUCACCCCCACUUCUUUUUAAAAAGUCAAUUAAAAAACUUUUGAGCAUUUCA